GACGAAGGGGGCUAGCGUUGUUCGGAAUUACUGGGCGUAAAGCGCGUGUAGGCGGUUGCCCAAGUCGGGUGUGAAAGCCUUGAGCUCAAAUCAAGAAAUGCACUCGGUACUGGGUGACUAGAGGACCGGAGAGGAUAGUGGAAUUCCCAGUGUAGUGGUGAAAUACGUAGAGAUUGGGAAGAACACCAGUGGCGAAGGCGGCUAUCUGGACGGUUUCUGACGCUAAGACGCGAAAGCGUGGGGAGCAAACAGG
rnacentral:rRNA from 1 species